AAUUUUAUUAAACAGACAAAGCACAAAAGGAAUGUACUGCAAAUAAAAGUUGUUGUUUUUUUUUUUUAUUUUUACAGAGCCUGGCAAAAGUGAUCAGCUAUAAGACAGUAAGUUUUGGAGCUGAGGGUGUGGCUCCCUUGGUAGAGUGCUAGCCUAGGGAGCAGGAAGCUUGGGUCUAUCCCCAGCACUGCACAAGCUGGCUAUGCUGCGCAUAUAAAAUCAGUGCUCAGAAGAGAAGAAGGAUCAGAAGAAGUUCAAGGUCAUCUUCAGCUACCUAGGGAGUUCCCAGGGCAACCUGGGAUACAUGAAGCUAUGGGGGUUGAGGAGACCUAAGUUUUUUGUUUUUGUUUUUGCUUUUUUGGUUUUUUGAGACAGGGUUUCUCUGUGUAGCCCUGGCUGUCCUGGAACUCACUCUGUAGACCAGGCUGGCCUCGAACUCAGAAAUCUGCCUGCCUCUGCCUCCCAAGUGCUGGGAUCAAAGGCAUGCGCCACCACGCCCGGCUGGGACCUAAGUUUUAUAGCUUAGUUUUUUAUAGUUCCUACUAUUUGUUUCUAUUUCCAUCCUGAGAAUCCCAUAUCAUCUAUCCAUGUGGUUUAAGAGAGGAACGGAAGAAUUCUGCUUCGUUGAGGUUGUGCCUAUACUAUUAAAAGUAAGCAAAACCUUAAGCUUUCGUUCUUUAACCAGAGCCAUCUUUAUCACACUCUUGGUUUUUUGUUGUUUGGCUUUUGUUUUGUCUUGAAACAGAGUCUUCCUAUUGUAGUCCUGACCAACCUGGAACUCAAUAUACAGUCCAGCCUGACCUCGAACUUGCAAGGGUUCUCCAGCCUCUGCCUCCAGAGCUGGGGUUAUAGGCACAAGCCACUAGGCCUGGUUCUACAUGUGUAAUUUUUUUUUCUAAGACAAAUACACACGCCUAAGUUGUAGAUUCAGAAAGAUGUAUUUCUCUUUUAAGUGAAAACCUGGACUUUGGAUGAAUCCUAAGUCACUGGACUACAUUGUAGUUGUGACUGACAGCACUUCAAAGUCCAUCUUACCUUACCGUAGAAUUUGACACUGGACAGAAUAUUGAGGUACUGAAAGUGGUUCCUGCUUCUAUAGAAUAGCCAUGAACCUUGGAAGCAGGAUGCCCUGAGAGAUGGAAACUGCCCCAUAGUUUCCACAGCAGCUCAGUACCAGGGUAGAGAUUCAGUCUCUUACAACGUGUGCAAGGAGUGGGGAUGCCAAGACAUCACAAUAAUAUGUGUGGGUGCAAUGUGAACUGUAUUCUGGAUGUGUUUGUAUAAAAUACCAAUUAGAUAUUAGUUCCAAUAUUUACAUUUCAGCAAGACUUUUAAAAGUUCCUUUCAUUUUAAAGUGAAAAUUGUUCGCUGGGCUUCUUGCAACACAUCCUUUCAACUGUGAAGUCCCACUGUACAUAUCUGUAUUUUUGUAAAUGUUAUAUAUAUGCAUAUAUCCCUCAUUUUAAAAGUAUGUUGUACAGUUAUAGUAUGUAUAGGCUACAGUCUUUGUUAAAUGGUUGAAAUGUCUCUUUUGUAGAAAGUGAAAUCACAGCUAUUACAGGGCUUUUGUUUGGUUUAUUUGUGGAUUUGAAACAGUUUUGAAUAUUGCAUGGAUAAUUAAUUUCACAUCUUUUGUAUCCACCUCUGUGUCUGGCUUUUGGUUGGGAAGUGCUUUUAGGUUUGUGAUAUUUGUAUUCAUCCCUCUUUCAAUCAUGUAAGUCAAAAUAAAAAUUAUUUUUAAUUACU
rnacentral:lncRNA from 1 species